GACGAACGCUGGCGGCGUGCUUAACACAUGCAAGUCGAACGGACAGGCCCUGCUUUUGUGGGGUGCUCGUGUGGCGAACGGGUGAGUGACACGUGAGUAACCUGCCCUUGACUUUGGGGUAACUUCAGGAAACUGGGGCUAAUACCGGAUAGGAGCUCCUGCUGCAUGGUGGGGGUUGGAAAGUUUCGGCGGUUGGGGAUGGACUCGCGGGUUAUCAGCUUGUUGGUGGGGUAGUGGCUUACCAAGGCUUUGACGGGUAGCCGGCCUGAGAGGGUGAACGGCCACAUGGGGACUGCGGUACGGCCCAGACGGCUACGGGAGGCAGCAGGGGGGAACAUGGCGGAAUGGGCGGAAGCCUGAUGCAGCAACGCCGCGUGCGGGAUGACGGCCUUUGGGUUGUAAACCGCUUUCGCCGUUGACGAAGCGUGAGUGACGGUAAUGGGUAAAGAAGCACCGGCUAACUACGUG
rnacentral:rRNA from 1 species